rnacentral:rRNA from 1 species
GACGAACGCUGGCGGCGUGCUUAACACAUGCAAGUCGAACGGAAAGGCCCCUUUUGGGGUACUCGAGUGGCGAACGGGUGAGUAACACGUGAGUAACCUGCCCUUGACUUCGGGAUAACUUCAGGAAACUGGGGCUAAUACCGGAUAGGAAUCCUUGCUGCAUGGUGGGGGUUGGAAAGCUUCGGCGGUUUUGGAUGGACUCGCGGCUUAUCAGCUUGUUGGUGGGGUAGUGGCUUACCAAGGCUUUGACGGGUAGCCGGCCUGAGAGGGCGACCGGCCACAUUGGGACUGAGAGACGGCCCAGACUGCGAAGGGAGGCAGCAGGGGGGAAUAUUGCACAAUGGGCGGAAGCCUGAGGCAGCAAGGCCGCGGGAGGGAAGACGGCCUUAGGGUUGGAAAACGAUUUCAGCAGGGGCGAAGCGUGUGGUGAAGGUACCUGCAGAAGAAGCAACGGCUAACUACGGG